rnacentral:rRNA from 1 species
CGCCGAAAGGGGUACGUAAUACCGGAUAUUCUUGCUUUUCUAUAAGUUAUGCAAGCAAAGGUGGCCUCUGCAUAUGCUACUGCAUGAAGAGGGGUCUGCGUACCAUUAGCUAGUAGGUGGGGUAAUGGCCUACCUAGGCGACGAUGGUUAGCGGGUCUGAGAGGAUGAUCCGCCACACUGGCACUGGAACACGGGCCAGACUCCUACGGGAGGCAGCAGUGAGGAAUAUUGCGCAAUGGGGGAAACCCUGACGCAGCGACGCCGCGUGAGUGGAAGGAAGGCCUUCGGGUCGUAAAGCUCUGUCAAGAGGAAAGAAGUGUACAAUGGCUAAUACCUGUUGUAUUUGACGGUACCUCUAAAGGAAGCACCGGCUAACUCCGUGCCAGCAGCCGC